AUAUUACAUGAUUUUCUACUUUGUUCUUUCAGUGUGCUUCUCUCUUCCUGUUACCGCCCAUGCAGCAGGCUUGGAAGGCAUAGAGAAAAGUGGGACUGCAAGUUUAGUGCAAGACUAAACUUUCUCAAAUGUGGAUGUUGCCUUGCAAGUUUGGAAAACAAAUCAAAAUACUGUAUGGAUCAUUGAGCAGUCGGAGUGGAGUAAUCUUCCUUCUCUGCUGAUCUGUGACACAAGGGUAACUUGUACCAACUGGAGAGCACAUAUAUGGAAUCUUGGUGACAUAUACAUCUGCUACAAAAAGGAGACGUUAAUCACCACUUCGUUGAGAUAGUUUGAAAGCAAAGUGACUACAAUUACUGCCAUUUUACAGAUGGAAGAGAUGCAGCAUGUAAGAAGCAUUACAGCUGAAAGACCCGAGGAUUGAGCGCGAAUGACCUCUUUGGGGUGGUAAGUGACUUUGCAAGCAGGGGUUUGGAAGUGCCUGGAAGGAGGAGAAGGCAUCUGUGCCCUUUAAAAAAGCAAGACAAGAAAAGAAGGCUUUCAGACCCCUCUUCUGUUGCCUUGUUUAGUCAUGGCUGGAUUAGGAUAUUAUAAACUCAAGGAAUGGUGUAUGUUGUGUUCUGAACUAGAAAGUUAGAAGCUCAUGCAGUCACUGCUGGGCUUAUGUUUCUAACAAUAUCAGAGUGACAGCAGAUUAUUUUUUUUAAGUCCAUACCACUUCCCAUGUUGUCCCUGCCCAGGAAGGUGGUGGAGGCACUGACCCAAGAGGUGUUCAAGAAAUGUUUGGACGUUGUGUUGAGGGACAUGGUUUAGUGAGAACUACUGGUGAUCGGUGGAUGGUUGCACUGGGUGAUCCCAUGAGUCUUUUCCAACAUUGGUGAUUCCAUGAUUUUAUGAUUACUGCUGUAGCAUGCUGGUAGUGGUCUACCAGAUAGAUGGAAAGAAGAAAACUUUUAUAUCUGCAUAUAUAUAAAAUAAAAUAGAAAAUUAUACAGGAAACAAAACUAAU